AUAGUCAUACUUACUUCAUUUUUUCCACAUAAAGGUUUUUUCUUUUUUAAGCUAUAUACAAAAGCUAUAAGCUAUACAAAAAAAAAAAAAUAAAUCAAAAUUAUUAUAUUAUCUUAUCAUUAACAUAAUUUAUAAGGUGACCUGCUACUUCUAUCGUGGUCACCGCAAGUCACUAUGAAAAAAAGGGUUCCGAGAGAAUUGCCAUAACUUCGUAAAUUAUUUAUAUUAUUUCAAGAACAAACGCUUGUUGUUUAGAAAAAAAAAUCAUGUUCUAUCAAUAAACAAUUACUUCAGUGUAAAAAAUAAUAAUCAAAAAGGUAUAUAACCCCUUAAUUUAAAUUCCAUUCUGCUAGAUCAGCAUAAUGAAAUGUAAACAUUUAAUCAUUGAAAGACGAAUAAUAAAAUAAAGAAUUCAGUUUGAGAUAUAUUGUCAAAGAAA